rnacentral:rRNA from 1 species
UACGUAGGGGGCAAGCGUUGUCCGGAUUUAUUGGGCGUAAAGAGCGUGUAGGCGGCUUGGUAGGUCCGCUGUGAAAACUCGAGGCUCAACCUCAGGCCUGCGCGGGAUACUGCUUGGCUAGAGUCCGGAAGAGGAGAGUGGAAUUCCUGGUGUAGCGGUGGAAUGCGCAGAUAUCAGGAGGAACAUCCGUGGCGAAGGCGGCUCUCUGGGACGGUACUGACGCUGAGACGCGAAAGCGUGGGGAGCGAACAGG